GAUGAACGCUGGCGGCGUGCCUAAUACAUGCAAGUCGAGCGAACGGACGAGAAGCUUGCUUCUCUGAUGUUAGCGGCGGACGGGUGAGUAACACGUGGAUAACCUACCUAUAAGACUGGGAUAACUUCGGGAAACCGGAGCUAAUACCGGAUGAUAUUUUGAACCGCAUGGUUCAAAAGUGAAAGACGGUCUUGCUGUCACUUAUAGAUGGAUCCGCGCUGCAUUAGCUAGUUGGUAAGGUAACGGCUUACCAAGGCAACGAUGCAUAGCUGACCUGAGAGGGUGAUCGGCCACACUGGAACUGAGACACGGUCCAGACUCCUACGGGAGGCAGCAGUAGGGAAUCUUCCGCAAUGGGCGAAAGCCUGACGGAGCAACGCCGCGUGAGUGAUGAAGGUCUUCGGAUCGUAAAACUCUGUUAUUAGGGAAGAACAUAUGUGUAAGUAACUGUGCACAUCUUGACGGUACCUAAUCAGAAAGCCACGGCUAACUACGUA
rnacentral:rRNA from 1 species